AUACGAAGGGGGCUAGCGUUGUUCGGAAUUACUGGGCGUAAAGCGCACGUAGGCGGACAUUUAAGUCAGGGGUGAAAUCCCGGGGCUCAACCCUGGAACUGCCUUUGAUACUGGGUGUCUUGAGUACGAGAGAGGUGAGUGGAAUUCCGAGUGUAGAGGUGAAAUUCGUAGAUAUUCGGAGGAACACCAGUGGCGAAGGCGGCUUACUGGACUGAAACUGACGCUGAGGCUCGAAAGCGUGGGGAGC
rnacentral:rRNA from 1 species